rnacentral:sRNA from 1 species
GCCAGGCUCAGUGGUGCAUGCCUAUAAUCCCAGUGACUCAGGAGGCUGAGGCAGGAGGAUAGCAAGUUUUAGGCCAGCCUCAGCAAAUUAGCAAGACCCUGUCUCAA